CCUACGGGUGGCAGCAGUGAGGAAUAUUGGUCAAUGGGCUUACGCCUGAACCAGCCAAGUCGCGUGAGGGAAGACUGCCCUAUGGGUUGUAAACCUCUUUUGUCAGGGAGCAACGCCGGCUACGUGUAGCCGGACUGAGAGUACCUGAAGAAAAAGCAUCGGCUAACUCCGUGCCAGCAGCCGCGGUAAUACGGAGGAUGCGAGCGUUAUCCGGAUUUAUUGGGUUUAAAGGGUGCGUAGGCGGAAUGCCAAGUCAGCGGUAAAAUCGCGGGGCUCAACCUCGCUCCGCCGUUGAAACUGGCGUGCUUGAGUGGGCGAGAAGUAUGCGGAAUGCGUGGUGUAGCGGUGAAAUGCAUAGAUAUCACGCAGAACUCCGAUUGCGAAGGCAGCAUACCGGCGCCCAACUGACGCUGAAGCACGAAAGCGUGGGUAUCGAACAGGAGUAGAUACCCGAGUAUC
rnacentral:rRNA from 1 species